AUGUUAUCUGUUGAUACAUUUUCUAAUCUUGUUUUUUUUUGUUGUCAAAUAAUCUUGCAUUGCAGGGUUAGAUGCCACAUUUUAUGGGCCUAUUAUAUUGUAAUUAGUAGCUCCAGCUAUAUGGAUAUGCUAAUUUUGUGUGGCACUGGCUUACCAUAUAUUAAAUCUGCAAGAGAAACAAACUCAGGAAGGUUUGCAUUUAUUUUGGGAAUUCAGCUCUCAAUUAAGCAUACUUGUUACUGUCGUAUGCCCCUUGAAUUCAGCUCUCAAUUAAACAUAUUCUUUACUGUCAUAUGCCUCUGCACUCAGACAUCCUGA